rnacentral:lncRNA from 1 species
CCACCCGGUCCCUCCUCCUCCUCCUCCUCCUCCCUCCCUCGUAUGCCGCCGCCACUCCCUCCCUCCUCCCUCCUCGUCGCCCCUGCCUCUACCCUAGGAGCUCCGCCACCUCCCACGCGCUCGUCCUCUCAUCUCCCAUGUCACGCCGUCGGCCCCUGCCAAGCCAUAGUGGUGCUCUACUUGCGCCCUCGCCUCUGGUAUCACCAGGCCCUCGAUGCCGGCCUCGUCGGCUUGCCGCCGCGCUCGAAGUUGUGGCCCUGGCUGCGCGUCUCGUCGCGCUCGGGAUUCACCCAUGCGCCCUCCCGCCCUGGGGAACGUGCAAAAGGGUCAAAACCCUAGCCGCCAGCAGUUCUCGUCAAGCCUCCUCCGCCUCGUCUCCUCCCUGCUCCCUCAUCUCCCACGUCGCCGCCUUCACCUCGUCUCCUCCCCGCUCCCUCCUCUCCAACGCCGCCGCCCUCGAUGCACUGUAAGGGACGCCGUCGACAGGUCGGGGAUACGCAGCGACGGAGCUCAGCCAGAGCAGAGCACAACCCCACUCCUAACCCUAUUCGCUUGAUGACAAGAGCAGGGCAACGGAUUGGAUCGAGGGCGCCCUGGCUUGGCCACCGCUGCCACCUGGAUUCGCUAGCCGCUGCGUGGAGUUGCCCUGGCCGCCGCCUUGAGUCACCUCCGUCGCCGCCUUGAGUCAACUCCACCGUUGCCGCCAGGAAUCCCAUCCCGGCAAGGUAACUUCCUCCAAAUCCCCGCUCUCCCUGGUCCUUGAUGCGUGUGUGUUGUGUGCGUUUAGCCAUGAUCUCCUACUUUUACAGGUACCCUACGCCUACCUUCCGAUCUUCAGAUCUCCAUAUUUGGUGAAUGCGAUGUUUUGGUUUCGUCAGAUUACUAUCUAUAUUUGGGGAUUAGCUACGAAUUGAUGUUCUUAGUUGGAGCGAGGAUACUCGACAGUGCUGAUUUAGAUCUUUUUGUAGAACAGAAUAAUUAACUUGGUCUAUUUCUGGAGAACUGCAGUGUAGAUAAUAUAUGCAUGAACGAUCGUAGCACUGAAAAUGCAAAAUUUACAGUAUGGUGUAAUGAUGGUCGGGUGUGACUUUUUUGAUGGCAUUGCCCAGUGCAGUUUUCGGAUUUCUACUGAGUGGUACCGUGUUCUGAGAUAUUUUUUUUGUGUUGCUAUCCGCAGGAAAAUUCCUAGGGAUUUGAUUGAUGGAGGCAUCACUAUUUGGCGCUGGAUUAUCCAUUUUUGCAGCACCAGCAAUGUUGUUUUUGUUUGGAAUGGUCAAUUCUCAAUUUCUAAAUCAGCUAUACUAUACUUCUUGUCAGGUUACAUUAUCUUGCUUGGUUUCAGUCUAUAUGUAGCACAAAAAUAGAUGACAUGGUUGGUUUGUAGGUUACAUUAAGGAACACCACCAUAAGGAACGCCGCUCUCGCAUUGCACUUCUUUGUUUAUAUUUGAUCUGUUCCUAUUCGGUUUGCUGUAGUACUUAAUUGAUACACCAUUUCAAUUCUCUUGCCGUUUUCUUCUUGCUGCUUCAUUGUAUUCAGUUAUGAUAUAUUUUUCAACUGUACAAGCACUUGGGGAAGUCAGGAAAACUGAACCAAAGACAAACACUUUUACUGGAGAUGUUGGGGCUUUUUUUAACUGAGAUGUGACAGAUGCAUCUUAUUCCCUGAGAUAUAUUGCCUUUAAUUUCUUGAUUUUUUUCCCCGACAUGCUAAUAUAGAGCCAGAUAUGCAUGAUUCAUCAUACACAUUACAGUCAAUUAUCCAUUGGAAUCUUUUGUCCAUAGAGGUGAUCUUGUUUGGACCAUUAGUCUAGGUAGUGACAUUUUGAUUGAUAAGGCACAAGUUUAUUUUCUUUUUCACUCGGGCUACACUAAAGUAAGCAUCAUCAUCAGUGAAAAGAAGGCAUACAAAUCAUGAAGUUUUUGCCUUGGCUGUGUGCCUCGUUUAGUUGCCACUUAUUUAUUUCUAGGAAGUUAUUCAAUUCUCAUCGAGCUUUCCUUAUGCUUUCCAUUGCUAAAGAAGAAAUUUAAAUACGCAAUAUUUUUAAUAUCUGAGGAGGCGACAGGGGAUGAAAAAAGGUUGUAAGGUCGUACUUUGGUGCGUCUUUGGCCAACGAUGGCUGGAUCCAUCUGACGCUCUUCCAAGCAGAGCAGUGCAGAUUUGCUGACUGGUACAAACAUCUAAGCCUAUGCAUGAUUCAUCAUACACAUUACAGUCAAUUAUCCAUUGGAAUCAUUUGUCCAUAGAGGUGAUCUUGUUUGGACCAUUAGUCUAGGUAGUGACAUUUUGAUCGAUAAGGCACAAAUUUAUUUUCUUUUUCACUCGGGCUACACUAAAGUAAGCAUCAUCAUCAGUGAAAAGAAGGCAUACAAAUCAUGAAGUUUUUGCCUUGGCUGUGUGCCUCGUUUAGUUGCCACUUAUUUAUUUCUAGGAAGUUAUUCAAUUCUCAUCGAGCUUUCCUUAUGCUUUCCAUUGCUAAAGAAGAAAUUUAAAUACGCAAUAUUUUUAAUAUCUGAGGAGGCGACAGGGGAUGAAAAAAGGUUGUAAGGUCGUACUUUGGUGCGUCUCUGGCCAACGAUGGCUGGAUCCAUCUGACGCUGUUCCAAGCAGAGCAGUGCAGAUUUGCUGACUGGUACAACAUCUAAGCCUAUGCAUGAU